AGAGCGAACGCUGGCGGCAGGCCUAACACAUGCAAGUCGAACGGACCCUUCGGGGUUAGUGGCGGACGGGUGAGUAACACGUGGGAACGUGCCUUUAGGUUCGGAAUAGCUCCUGGAAACGGGUGGUAAUGCCGAAUGUGCCCUUCGGGGGAAAGAUUUAUCGCCUUUAGAGCGGCCCGCGUCUGAUUAGCUAGUUGGUGAGGUAAAGGCUCACCAAGGCUACGAUCAGUAGCUGGUCUGAGAGGAUGACCAGCCACAUUGGGACUGAGACACGGCCCAAACUCCUACGGGAGGCAGCAGUGGGGAAUCUUGCGCAAUGGGCGAAAGCCUGACGCAGCCAUGCCGCGUGAAUGAUGAAGGUCUUAGGAUUGUAAAAUUCUUUCAGUAGGGACGAUAAUGACGGUACUACAGAAGAAGCCCCGGCUAACUUCGCGCCAGCAGCCGC
rnacentral:rRNA from 1 species